GAUGAACGCUGGCGGCGUGCCUAAUACAUGCAAGUCGAGCGAACGGACGAGAAGCUUGCUUCUCUGAUGUUAGCGGCGGACGGGUGAGUAACACGUGGAUAACCUACCUAUAAGACUGGGAUAACUUCGGGAAACCGGAGCUAAUACCGGAUAAUCUUUUGAACCGCAUGGUUCAAAAGUGAAAGACGGUCUUGCUGUCACUUAUAGAUGGAUCCGCGCUGCAUUAGCUAGUUGGUAAGGUAACGGCUUACCAAGGCAACGAUGCAUAGCCGACCUGAGAGAGGGAUCGGCCACACUGGAACUGGGACACGGUCCAGACUCCUACGGGAGGCAGCAGUAGGGAAUCUUCCGCAAUGGGCGAAAGCCUGACGGAGCGACGCCGCGUGAGUGAUGAAGGUCUUCGGAUCGUAAAACUCUGUUAUUAGGGAAGAACAUAUGUGUAAGUAACUGUGCACAUCUUGACGGUACCUAAUCAGAAAGCCACGGCUAACUACGUG
rnacentral:rRNA from 1 species